rnacentral:tRNA from 1 species
CGGGAAGUAGCGCAGCCUGGUAGCGCACUUGCUUCGGGAGCAAGGGGUCGGAGGUUCAAAUCCUCUCUUCCCGACCA